GAUGAAGAACGUAGCGAAAUGCGAUAAGUAAUGUGAAUUGUAGAAUUCAGUGAAUCAUCGAAUCUUUGAACGCACAUUGCGCCCCUUGGUAUUCCGAGGGGCAUGCCUAUUCGAGCGUCAUUAUCAACCCUCAAGCCUAGCUUGGUGUUGAGACCUGCUGUCAAGGCAGUCUCUAAAAUCAGUGGCAGUGCUGUCAGGCUCUAAGCGUAGUAAAUCUAAUCGCUAUAGACACCUGGUGGACACUCGCCAGAACCCCCCCAUUUUUUAAUGAUUGACCUCGGAUUAGGUAGGGAUACCCGCUGAACUUAAGCAUAUCAAUAAGCGGAGGA
rnacentral:misc_RNA from 1 species